rnacentral:rRNA from 1 species
UACGUAGGGUGCAAGCGUUGUCCGGAAUUAUUGGGCGUAAAGAGCUCGUAGGCGGUUCGUCGCGUCGGCUGUGAAAACCUGAGGCUCAACCUCAGGCCUGCAGUGGAUACGGGCAGACUAGAGGUAGGUAGGGGAGAAUGGAAUUCCUGGUGUAGCGGUGGAAUGCGCAGAUAUCAGGAGGAACACCGAUGGCGAAGGCAGAUCUCUGGGCCGUAACUGACGCUGAGGAGCGAAAGCGUGGGGAGCGAACAGG